GUGUCAGCAGCCGCGGUAAGACGAGCUCUCCAAACGUUAUUCGGUAUCACUGGGCUUAAAGAGUUCGUAGGCGGUCUGGUAGGUGAGGUGUGAAAUCCCCCGGCUCAACCGGGGAACUGCGCUUCAAACCGCCGGACUUGAGGGAGACAGAGGUGGGCGGAACAGAUGGUGGAGCGGUGAAAUGCGUUGAUAUCAUCUGGAACACCGGUGGCGAAAGCGGCCCACUGGGUCUCAUCUGACGCUGAGGAACGAAAGCUAGGGUAGCGAACGGGAUUAGAUACCCCGGUAGUCCUAGCCGUAAACGAUGAGCACUAGCCCGUGGGGACUCUCACAUCCUCUCGGGCGUAGCGAAAGUGUUAAGUGCUCCGCCUGGGGAGUAUGGUCGCAAGGCUGAA
rnacentral:rRNA from 1 species